rnacentral:tRNA from 1 species
CUCCCCGUAGCUCAGAGGAGAGAGCAAUGGCCUCCGAAGCCGUGCGCGCAGGUUCGAUCCCUGCCGGGGAGA